rnacentral:rRNA from 1 species
GAUGAACGCUGGCGGCGUGCCUAAUACAUGCAAGUCGAGCGAACGGACGAGAAGCUUGCUUCUCUGAUGUUAGCGGCGGACGGGUGAGUAACACGUGGAUAACCUACCUAUAAGACUGGGAUAACUUCGGGAAACCGGAGCUAAUACCGGAUAAUAUUUUGAACCGCAUGGUUCAAAAGUGAAAGACGGUCUUGCUGUCACUUAUAGAUGGAUCCGCGCUGCAUUAGCUAGUUGGUAAGGUAACGGCUUACCAAGGCAACGAUGCAUAGCCGACCUGAGAGGGUGAUCGGCCACACUGGAACUGAGACACGGUCCAGACUCCUACGGGAGGCAGCAGUAGGGAAUCUUCCGCAAUGGGCGAAAGCCUGACGGAGCAACGCCGCGUGAGUGAUGAAGGUCUUCGGAUCGUAAAACUCUGUUAUUAGGGAAGAACAUAUGUGUAAGUAACUGUGCACAUCUUGACGGUACCUAAUCAGAAAGCCACGGCUAACUACGUGCCAGCGGCCGCGGUAAUACGUAGGUGGCAAGCGUUAUCCGGAAUUAUUGGGCGUAAAGCGCGCGUAGGCGGUUUUUUAAGUCUGAUGUGAAAGCCCACGGCUCAACCGUGGAGGGUCAUUGGAAACUGGAAAACUUGAGUGCAGAAGAGGAAAGUGGAAUUCCAUGUGUAGCGGUGAAAUGCGCAGAGAUAUGGAGGAACACCAGUGGCGAAGGCGACUUUCUGGUCCGUAACUGACGCUGAUGUGCGAAAGCGUGGGGAUCAAACAGGAUUAGAUACCCUGGUAGUCCACGCCGUAAACGAUGAGUGCUAAGUGUUAGGGGGUUUCCGCCCCUUAGUGCUGCAGCUAACGCAUUAAGCACUCCGCCUGGGGAGUACGACCGCAAGGUUGAAACUCAAAGGAAUUGACGGGGACCCGCACAAGCGGUGGAGCAUGUGGUUUAAUUCGAAGCAACGCGAAGAACCUUACCAAAUCUUGACAUCCUUUGACAACUCUAGAGAUAGAGCCUUCCCCUUCGGGGGCAAAGUGACAGGUGGUGCAUGGUUGUCGUCAGCUCGUGUCGUGAGAUGUUGGGUUAAGUCCCGCAACGAGCGCAACCCUUAAGCUUAGUUGCCAUCAUUAAGUUGGGCACUCUAAGUUGACUGCCGGUGACAAACCGGAGGAAGGUGGGGAUGACGUCAAAUCAUCAUGCCCCUUAUGAUUUGGGCUACACACGUGCUACAAUGGACAAUACAAAGGGCAGCGAAACCGCGAGGUCAAGCAAAUCCCAUAAAGUUGUUCUCAGUUCGGAUUGUAGUCUGCAACUCGACUACAUGAAGCUGGAAUCGCUAGUAAUCGUAGAUCAGCAUGCUACGGUGAAUACGUUCCCGGGUCU